rnacentral:rRNA from 1 species
UAUUUUAAAGAGAGUUUGAUCCUGGCUCAGGACGAACGCUGGCGGCGUGCCUAAUACAUGCAAGUCGAACGAACGGAGGAAGAGCUUGCUCUUCCAAAGUUAGUGGCGGACGGGUGAGUAACACGUGGGCAACCUGCCUGUAAGUUGGGGAUAACUCCGGGAAACCGGGGCUAAUACCGAAUGAUAAAGUGU